ACAAUUUUUUAACCAGGUUUUCCGAAGGAAAAAACUGGUUAUUAGAUUGGCGAAUGCGGGCGGGCUGGCUGGCUGGCUGGCGGGCUGGCGGAAUAAGCUUGUCCGGGCCAUAACUAUGUCGUUCAUUGUCAGAUUUUAAAAUCAUUUGGCACAUUUGUUCACCAUCAUUGGACGGUGUGUCGCGCGAAAUAAUUACAUCGAUAUCUCCAAGGUCAAGGUCACACUUUGAGUUCAAAGGUCAAAAAUGGCCAUAAAUGAGCUUGUCCUGGCCAUAACUAUGUCAUUCAUUGUGAGAUUUUAAAAUCAUUUGGCACAUUUGUUCACCAUCAUGGGACGGUGUGUCCCACGAAAGAAUCACGUCAAUAUCUCCAAUGUCAAGGUCGCCACGACUAAAAAUAGAUUUAAAAAAAAAAAAAAACUUACAAAGGGGGUUAAUUUUUUUUGGUCAUUUCAAAA